rnacentral:rRNA from 1 species
UACGUAGGGUGCGAGCGUUAAUCGGAAUUACUGGGCGUAAAGCGUGCGCAGGCGGUUCGUUGUGUCGGCGGUGAAAGCCCCGGGCUCAACCUGGGAAUGGCCGUUGAAACUGGCGAACUGGAGUGUGGCAGAGGGGGUGGAAUUCCGCGUGUAGCAGUGAAAUGCGUAGAUAUUGCUAAGAACACCAAUGGCGAAGGCAGCUUGCUGGGCCACUCCUGACACUGAGGUACGAAAGCGUGGGAGCGAACAGG